rnacentral:rRNA from 1 species
UACAGAGGUGGCAAGCGUUGUUCGGAAUUACUGGGCGUAAAGGGCGCGUAGGCGGCCUUCUAAGUCAGACGUGAAAUCCCCCGGCUUAACCUGGGAACUGCGUCUGAUACUGGAGGGCUUGAGUGCGGGAGAGGGAUGUGGAAUUCCAGGUGUAGCGGUGAAAUGCGUAGAUAUCAGGAGGAACACCGGUGGCGAAGGCGGCUAUCUGGACAGAAACUGACGCUGAGGCGCGAAAGCUAGGGGAGCAAACAGG